rnacentral:misc_RNA from 1 species
GAUGAAGAACGCAGCGAAAUGCGAUACUUGGUGUGAAUUGCAGAAUCCCGUGAACCAUCGAGUCUUUGAACGCAAGUUGCGCCCGAAGCCAUUAGGCCGAGGGCACGCCUGCCUGGGCGUCACACGUCGUUGCCCCCCCAUCUACUCCUUCGGGAUUGCGGGGGGCGGAUGAUGGCCUCCCGUGCGCCUCGCCGCGCGGUUGGCAUAAAUGCCAAGUCCUCGGCGACGCACGCCACGACAAUCGGUGGUUGCGAAACCUCGGUUGCCCAUCGUGUGCGGUCGUCGCGCAUCGAGGGCUCGAAAAAAUUGCCGGGUUCCGGCUCGGCUUUCAACGCGACCCCAGGUCAGGCGGGGUUACCCGCUGAAUUUAAGCAUAUCAAUAAGCGGAGGA